GGCCCUCUCACCCCGAGGGAAGGGGGCGGCCUGACCGCUGCCCGGGGUGGCGGGUGUCAUUAGGGUUCCUGCCCAGCUCCACUCGACAACGCGUCCUGGACUUCGCCCUCUCGGCCGAUCUUGCGAUGGGGCAGUGACGGCACAGCUGGGAUCCCCGUGCCGGACCCGGGCACGAACGGGGCCGCCUCCGGAACUGCCUUUCCCUGUCACGACCCUGCUGGGUCCCCGACCAUUGCCCAGGGUCUUCGGGUGCCCAGCCGUCGCCUUUCCCACCUUUUUCAUUUGGAGAUGCCCUUGCCAUUGUCUUCUCCGCCUAGCAAGCUUCUCACUGUCCAAGGCUGUUCGGAGAUCACUUCCCUGGAGAAGGCCCCCGGGAACCCCGAGGCUCCAAGCACCGGACCCGGGCAGCUCCGGACCCCCCUCCCCUCUUCGAUGACACAAGCGGUGGUUACUCCAUCCAGCCAGGGGGAUACCCAGCCCCAGGAGCCGACGUGGCCUUCAAUGUCAACCACUUGCUUGGGGACCCAGUGGCCAACGUGGCUAUGGCCUAUGGCAGCUCCAUCGCAUCCCAUGGGAAGGACAUUGUG